GACAGAGGCCCCAAGCGUUAGGCGGAAUCACUGGGCUUAAAGCGUGUGUAGGCGGAUCGUUAAGUGUCUUGUGAAAUCCCACGGCUCACCCGUGGAACUGCUGGGCAUACUGGCGAUCUUGGGCCAACUAGGGGCAGUCGGAACAAGCGGUGGAGCGGUGAAAUGCGUAGAUAUCAGGAGGAACACCGGUGGCGAAGGCGGAUCUCUGGGCCUUACCUGACGCUCAGGUGCGAAAGCUAGGGGAGCGAACAGG
rnacentral:rRNA from 1 species